rnacentral:rRNA from 1 species
GAUGAACGCUGGCGGCGUGCCUAAUACAUGCAAGUCGAGCGAACGGACGAGAAGCUUGCUUUUCUGAUGUUAGCGGCGGACGGGUGAGUAACACGUGGAUAACCUACCUAUAAGACUGGGAUAACUUCGGGAAACCGGAGCUAAUACCGGAUAAUAUUUUGAACCGCAUGGUUCAAAAGUGAAAGACGGUCUUGCUGUCACUUAUAGAUGGAUCCGCGCUGCAUUAGCUAGUUGGUAAGGUAACGGCUUACCAAGGCAACGAUGCAUAGCCGACCUGAGAGGGUGAUCGGCCACACUGGAACUGAGACACGGUCCAGACUCCUACGGGAGGCAGCAGUAGGGAAUCUUCCGCAAUGGGCGAAAGCCUGACGGAGCAACGCAGCGUGAGUGAUGAAGGUCUUCGGAUCGUAAAACUCUGUUAUUAGGGAAGAACAUAUGUGUAAGUAACUGUGCACAUCUUGACGGUACCUAAUCAGAAAGCCACGGCUAACUACGUG